CACGUAGGGUGCGAGCGUUGUCCGGAAUUAUUGGGCGUAAAGAGCUCGUAGGCGGCUUGUCGCGUCGUCCGUGAAAACUUGGGGCUCAACCCCAAGCUUGCGGUCGAUACGGGCAGGCUAGAGUUCGGUAGGGGAGACUGGAAUUCCUGGUGUAGCGGUGAAAUGCGCAGAUAUCAGGAGGAACACCGGUGGCGAAGGCGGGUCUCUGGGCCGAUACUGACGCUGAGGAGCGAAAGCGUGGGGAGCGAACAGG
rnacentral:rRNA from 1 species